GCCGGCUACAUUACCCGGUGAUCAUCUGUUACUCAGGAGAUGACGACGAGGGUGAUGGGGGUAACAUCACCGCUCAAGGGUGACAUAUAGUGACGAUGGUGACGGUAGUUCGCCGGUGGUCAGCAGCCACAUCUUUGAGUGACGACUAGGGUUCCGAAGAACGAACCGGGUGAUGUGAUGGGGUAACGACUUCAGUCAAGGUAAGGUAACGGAGGAUCGAAGGUGGUAUACGAAGUGUCAUCCGCAUUUUCCGCCUGCUCUUCUCCUCUACUCCUCCGGCAAGGGACUCCUUAUCACUUUUCGAGGUGCGGUUGCUCUAUUCCCUGCUAUUUCUCUCAACUGGUCUGAUUGCAAGGGUUUUUUCUUUUCGUAUUCUGAUUUGGUUCAGGAACACCAGUAACCGUGUGGAUACAGGUGCAUUGCCUCCAUUUCAGUUCAGCUAUUUGAGAAAUAGGAAAUCAUUAUCUGAGUUUUGGCGGGAUUGUCCUAUUCUGGCUGAUAAUUCAAAGGAGCAUAAUUGCAUGCCUUAUGAACAUUAUACCGCAACAUUACUUGCA